CCUACGGGCGGCAGCAGUGGGGAAUAUUGGACAAUGGGGGCAACCCUGAUCCAGCCAUGCCGCGUGUGUGAAGAAGGCCCUCGGGUUGUAAAGCACUUUCAGUGAGGAAGAACGCCUGGUGGUUAAUACCCAUCAGGAAAGACAGUACUCACAGAAGAAGCACCGGCUAACUCCGUGCCGGCAGCCGCGGUAAUACGGAGGGUGCGAGCGUUAAUCGGAAUUACUGGGCGUAAAGCGCGCGUAGGUGGCUUGAUAAGCCGGUUGUGAAAGCCCCGGGCUCAACCUGGGAACGGCAUCCGGAACUGUCAAGCUAGAGUGCAGGAGAGGAAGGUAGAAUUCGCGGUGUAGCGGUGAAAUGCGUAGAGAUCGGGAGGAAUACCAGUGGCGAAGGCGGCCUUCUGGACUGACACUGACACUGAGGUGCGAAAGCGUGGGUAGCAAACAGGAUUAGAUACCCUGGUAGUC
rnacentral:rRNA from 1 species